rfam:Ictidomys tridecemlineatus contig030639, whole genome shotgun sequence.
UGGGUUGUGGCUCAGUGGUAGAGUGCUCAUCUAGCACGUGCGAGGCCCUGGGUUCUAUCCUCAGCACCACAU